CCUCAGGUUCGUUGUCAUUGCAACCGAGUUCUGCUUGUUCUUCAACAUCCUUUUCCUCAGACAACUUUUCUGGCUCUAGGUUACCUGAAUUCUGCAUAUUGGACACCUCUAGAUUUUUAAGCUCUUCCAAUAUAUCACUGUCUUCGUCCUCAAAUCCAUCAGGUUCAUAGCCAGCACUUAAAUUCUGCAAAUUUAUAUCCUCCAACUCCAAAUCUUCUUCAGCUAAUUC
rnacentral:misc_RNA from 1 species